AGCAUAUCACUAAGCGGAGGAAAAGAAACCAACCGGGAUUCCCUCAGUAGCGGCGAGCGAAGCGGGAAGAGCCCAUCGCCGAAUCCCCCGUCGGACCUCGGCGGUUGGGAACUGUGGCGUAAGGGUCCGACUCGUCGGGCGUCUGACCUCCGAACAAGUCCCGCGGGACAGGUGUGCUCCCAGAGUGGGUGUGAGGCCUUUAGUUCGGUUGGGUCUCUGCCGGCGCAGUCGGUACCUAGAGUCGAGUUGCUUGGGAUCGCAGCUCAAAGUGGGUGGUAAGCUCCAUCUAAGGCUAAAUACUGCACGAGUCCGAUAGCGAACAAGUACCGUGAGGG
rnacentral:rRNA from 1 species